GGGUCAUAUCAUAUUGAAAACACCAGUUCCCGUGCGAUCAUAGAAGUUAAGAAAUUGAGCCUCGUCAGUACCUAGUUGGAUGGCCACUUGAGGAUAUCAGGUGCUGUAA